AUGGAUGUAUCGAAUGCAUUUCUGCACGGCCAUAUUGCCGAGCAGGUCUUCUGUCAGCAGCCCACUGGUUUUGUCGAUGCGGCUCAUCCUGAUCAUGUAUGCUUGCUCUCAUGUUCCUUGUACGGAUUUAAGCAGGCACCUCGCGCCUGGUACCAGCGCAUCGCCGCCUUCCUACAGCAGCUUGGGUUCCAAGCUACUCGCUCCGACGCCUUGCUGUUUGUAUACGACCAGGGUGCUCCUUUACGUCGACGACAUCAUCUUGACAGCGACCGAGCUUCUUUGUCAGCUUACUGCCCGCCUCAGCGCCGAGUUCGCCAUUAA
rnacentral:rRNA from 1 species